AAUUAACAAUAUUGUAAACAGUGUUUUGUUAAUUAAUGUUAAUUAAAAAAAAUUAAUUAUUAAUUAAAAUAAAGUAGUAUUUAUUCAUUAGACUCGAACAGUUAUGAAACUAUUAGUUGUAAUACUAAUAUGUGUACUACUGGUGCUUAUUAUUGACAUCAACUACUCAAUGGGACAGUCAGUCGGUCCACAUGGUUGUCCCGGUACCACCAUAGAGUGUGCCGAUUAUUGUGUUGACACACUAAAAAAACGCAAUGGCUUUUGCAAUAGUGAUGGUAAUUGUUUUUGUGGUAGUUAUAAAAAGAAAAUAUUAAUUAAAUAAUAAUAAU